rnacentral:lncRNA from 1 species
GCAGUCCAUAAUAUUUUCUAAACAAUAAAUAAAGCAUCUACUCAAUUUUGAAAUCGUGGGAAAUAUAGUAAUAAUCUAUCUAGUAGGGAAAGAUAUGUAAAAAUAAUAAUAAUAAAACCUGCUAUAUGUUAUCUGACCUUGGCCGGGAAACUACGGGAGACCAUAGAAUGUAGUGUAGGUUAUACUAGCCUCGAUCAUAAUUUUCUAUUUGCAUUUGUUUUUCUUUUUCGUGUUUUUGCCAUGCUGAAGUCUGCUUGUCUUCAUUUUAUAAGUUUUUAAUGUUCCUUUGGUUUCUCACGCCUAUUUUGUUUGCAAUUGUUUGGACAUAACCCUCUCCCUUAUUGUAGUUUUGGAAUACUUUUAAACAUUAUAGCCAAUUGUUACUCAUUUAGGCAUCUGUAUAUGUAGGAUAGGGUGUUUUAACUGUUUCUAAUACAUGUUUUGUUUUCAAAACUUUCCCCCCUUUUCUCUGUUUGCAGUAAUGUUUACUUCUGUAAAGCAAAG